rnacentral:lncRNA from 1 species
AUGCACUCGGAGAAUUUGAGAUUCCCAACGCCUUACUGCCAACUUUGCUUGCGACGCACGCCGGGCCCCGCAGACGGAUCAUGUCUGGAGUCCGGAGUAGCCCCGUUCCCAAAGGAGUUAGGGAUGGAGCGAGCGGAGAGGACUGGAGCAUCUCCGGUUUAUGCCGACGAGAUCCGGCAACCGUGCUACAGGUGGGACUCGGCGUGCGUUCGGGAGAUCCGGCGGGAGUGCGGAUGCGUCCAGCGCUGGUAUUACCCAGAGCUGUUGCAUCCCUUCAACGGUGACCAUGUUUUGAAGGUCAGAGGUCACCGGUGCAACUCAUCCUACAUUCAGGAAUGGGACACCAUUCAUCAGCCUGAAUAUAAUGGACAUUGCGAGAGGAGACGGGUGUCAUUCCGGCAUCGCGAGGAGCGACCCGAGACUGGCAGACAAUCACACUGUAACGGGCCGAACUCAAAUCAGGCAGGUUUUUUCCCAACUGAGGUGCCCUCGAGCAAGCUGGGCCGCUCCAGGGCACUCGGGAAUGGGCUGCAGGUGAACGGACCGCAGCGGGAAGUAAGGACGCCUCGGGGGGACGAGGGUCUGGAGAAACAUGGCAAGCAGAGGAAGAGCCAGGGAACAGUACGGGAACAGAUCAAACAAGUGGUCAAAGAGCUCGAGGAAGUCCUGGGUGGUCUCAAACAGGUCCAGUUGGAGAUGAAAGAGGUUGUCCAACAGAUCGACAUUCUGACGUCCAAUAUUGACCUUGGUGAAGACGAACCAAGUCUAUCCAAAGGACUCUCCCAAGAUGCCACCAAAAGCAGUCGGAUUGGUGUUGUGGCAUUGAUACACAAUUCAAACAGUGAAGAGGACAUGUCCACUUCUAAUUCCUCUCUCGCUCACAGCCCUGUCACUGUGGAUUUAGUUCACAUUAACAGUCCUUCACCGAUGAGAAACUGCACAAGUCCAUCCCCUCCUGAGCAACGAUCCGUUACUGUUGAGGAUAAAGGCAAACGAGUUGUGAAAAAGAGCUCAGAGACUCAAAGGACAGCCAAUGGAAACUGCCUACCGCAUCGAACGGCAAGGAAAGGCCAACUGGAAAACCACAGACCCCCUGCAGCUCUAGCAGUGUGCACUAACUCAAAUAAAACCCAACGGCCUCCAUUUUACCCUCAGAAUGGACAGGUGAAGAUGAGGACGCCCCCCUAUCCUGGAAAAACAUAA